AUUGAACGCUGGCGGCAGGCUUAACACAUGCAAGUCGAGCGGAGUGAUGGUGCUUGCACUAUCACUUAGCGGCGGACGGGUGAGUAAUGCUUAGGAAUCUGCCUAUUAGCGGGGGACAACAUCUCGAAAGGGAUGCUAAUACCGCAUACGUCCUACGGGAGAAAGCAGGGGAUCACUUGUGACCUUGCGCUAAUAGAUGAGCCUAAGUCGGAGUUAGCUAGUUGGUGGGGUAAAGGCCUACCAAGGCGACGAUCUGUAGCGGGCCUGAGAGGAUGAUCCGCCACACUGGGACUGAGACACGGCCCAGACGCCUACGGGAGGCAGCACUGGGGACUAUUGGACAAUGGGGGGAACCCUGAUCCAGCCAUGCCGCGUGUGUGAAGAAGGCCUUAUGGUUGUAAAGCACUUUAAGCGAGGAGGAGGCUCUUUUGGUUAAUACCCUAGAUGAGUGGACGUUACUCGCAGAAUAAGCACCGGCUAACUCUGUGCCAGCCGCCGCGGUAAAAC
rnacentral:rRNA from 1 species